GUCCACGCCGUAAACGUUGGGCACUAGGUGUGGGUUCCAACCAACGGAAUCCGCGCCGUCGCAAACGCAUUAAGUGCCCCGCCUGGGGAGUACGAUCGCAAGAUUAAAACUCAAAGGAAUUGACGGGGCCCGCACAAGCAGCGGAGCGUGUUGCUUAAUUCGAUGCAACGCGAAGAACCUUACCUGGGCUUGACAUGUACGGAAAAGCCGUAGAGAUACGGUGUCCUUCGGGGCCGUACACAGGUGGUGCAUGGCUGUCGU
rnacentral:rRNA from 1 species